rnacentral:rRNA from 1 species
GGACCCGCACAAGCAGUGGAGCAUGUGGUUUAAUUCGAAGAUACGCGCAGAACCUUACCAACACUUGACAUGUUCGUCGCGAGACCAAGAGAUUGGUUUCUUCAUUUAGUUGGACGAAACACAGGUGCUGCAUGGCUGUCGUCAGCUCGUGUCGUGAGAUGUUGGGUUAAGUCCCGCAACGAGCGCAACCCCCUACUUUUAGUUGCCACCAUUUAGUUGGGCACUUUAAAAGAACUGCCAGUGAUAAGCUGGAGGAAGGUGGGGAUGACGUCAAGUCCUCAUGGCCCUUACGUGUUGGGCUACACACGUGCUACAAUGGCACUUACAAUGGGAAGCAAAGAGGCGACUCCUAGCCAAUCCCAAAAAUGUGUCUCAGUUCGGAUUGCACUCUGCAACUCGAGUGCAUGAAGCUGGAAUUGCUAGUAAUCG